AUUUUUUAGUUCCUACCUGCCUUUCAGUUUGAGGGGGCAAUGGCCGUUUCUGAAAUGGCAUACUACAUACUGCUCGUAUACUGAUCGUGACGUAAAAGUAUAUACAUCCAGAGCUCACUACGUCGGAUACUGUAUCCCAUAAUGCAACGCGGCACCGUUGGAAAAAAACCGUUGAACAUUUCGAAUAAUGGCGGCGGAAAAUGCGAGCGAUGAAUAUAAAUGGACUGAUGUAGACACCGCAGCUCUCAUCAGUUGGAGAUCUACGAAUGAGGGCAUGUUCACGGGCAGGAGGAAUGCGGCGCAGAAGGGGUUCGACAUGCUGCAUUUCAUUGUUGUCGGGGAGAUCCUGUGGAAAGUCUCCUGGCUCCACAAAGUCUCCAUUUGAUAGGCACAAGUUGUGGAGGAAGACACAGCAGGACACCACCACUGGGGCAAAGGUUGACUUUACCUAUGUGCAGAGAUGGGCAGUAUUUUAAAUUAGAUGUAUUUAAAAUAUGCAUUUAAUUACUUUUGAGUAUCUUAUUCAACAUAAGACAAAAAUAGAAACUAAUCUGUAACAGACAGAUAUUGCAUGCCAAGGAAAGCUACUGAAUAACAGUGAAAUACAAGCAUUUUCUCAUAUUGUCAUUUUAUGCUCAUUUAAAUUUCAUAAGCAUUUGCACAUUGACACACACACUUGUAUGUAUUAUGUUUUCUUUACCUCAAGGGCCUUCAGAAAGAUGGAUCUCCACCUGGUCUUCAUCAUCCCGAAGGCCCUCUCCACAACACACCUUGCCUUUGACAGGUGCUUGUUGUACCUGGCCUGUACGGGGCCCUGUACUGGCUCCCGGAACGGGGUCAUCAGGCAGAUGGGGGUAGCAAGGCAAGGAUAGCCUCCAUCGCCUAUGAUGCACCACCCAGGUGGUGGGUACAGCUGCUGCACAUACACAGAGCUCCACCUGAGCACCCGGGCAUCAUGGACCGAGCCAGGAAGGCCAACAAAAGCAUUGAGGAAGCGCCCUUUAUGGUCACAAAUGGCCUGCAGCUGAAUUGAAUGGAACAACUUUCUAUUAUAAUAAUCCUCCUUGUAUUCCCCAGGAGGCUUUAUUCUAAUGUGGAUGCAGUCAAUGCUCCCAGCCACACGGUUCAAGGCAGGUGAACCAGCCAGCUGGGCGAACCCCGCUCCGAUGACCUCCAGCUCAGCCUCAGACGGGAAACAUACAGCCUUUGUGUAGAUCUGCAGUAUUCCCUUUGCAACCCGAUGGACAAUCAUGUGGACGGUGGAAAGAGGCACAUCAAAGGCCUCAGAGACCACUCUGUAGGAGGUGGCACUGGCCAGCCAGUAUAGAAAAACUGCCACCUCCAGUUCUCUCCCCCAGCCAUGGAUGUGCUCAUCCACCAGGGCCUCCACAAGGGCAUUCACGGACUCCCUAGAAAGACGGAAGUCUUUCUUUAGGUCGCCGUCACCAAAAAAAAGGGAAACAGCUGGGGUUUUGUCAUUCAGCUGACAAUACUGACCCCUAAGGUCAACCUGAAUGAAGGGAAAACUCUGUUAUUUAAAUCCAUUUUCAUUUAUAUGCAUGUACAAAUAGUUUUACUAUAUUUGAUUAAAAUGUUGUUAUUUG